AGGGAAUCUUCCGCAAUGGACGAAAGUCUGACGGAGCAACGCCGCGUGAGUGAUGAAGGUUUUCGGAUCGUAAAGCUCUGUUGCCAGGGAAGAACGUCCUGUAGAGUAACUGCUACAGGAGUGACGGUACCUGAGAAGAAAGCCCCGGCUAACUACGUGCCAGCAGCCGCGGUAAUACGUAGGGGGCAAGCGUUGUCCGGAAUUAUUGGGCGUAAAGCGCGCGCAGGCGGCUGUUUAAGUCUGGUGUUUAAUCCUGGGGCUCAACCCUAGGUCGCACUGGAAACUGGGCAGCUUGAGUGCAGAAGAGGAGAGUGGAAUUCCACGUGUAGCGGUGAAAUGCGUAGAGAUGUGGAGGAACACCAGUGGCGAAGGCGACUCUCUGGGCUGUAACUGACGCUGAGGCGCGAAAGCGUGGGGAGCAAAC
rnacentral:rRNA from 1 species